GUCCUCUCAGGGUCACAUCUGGAGAGUUUUCCAGUACUCUACCAGUCAUGACUACAGGAAGGAGAGUCAAGCAGAGGCAUACCUAUUCCAUUCCUAGCUUGGGCAGCAACUAGUGGGUGGAAAGCAAUCUGCUACAAGU